rnacentral:rRNA from 1 species
UACGUAGGGGGCAAGCGUUGUCCGGAUUUAUUGGGCGUAAAGAGCGUGUAGGCGGCCAGGUAGGUCCGUUGUGAAAACUCGAGGCUCAACCUCGAGACGUCGAUGGAAACCAUCUGGCUAGAGUCCGGAAGAGGAGAGUGGAAUUCCCGGUGUAGCGGUGAAAUGCGCAGAUAUCAGGAAGAACACCCGUGGCGAAGGCGGCUCUCUGGGACGGUACUGACGCUGAGACGCGAAAGCGUGGGGAGCGAACAGG